AUGCGCUGGAACCCUAGGAUUCGGCGCGAGCUUAUCACUUAUCAUCAUCAGCGCCCCUUCCUCCCUCCCUCCUCCUCCUCGCGCGUCCUGAUCCAUCAUCCAGCCCAGGUGAUUAAGGUCGCCAUGUCGGACUCCGAGGACCACCACUUCGAGUCCAAGGCCGAUGCCGGGGCGUCCAAGACCUACCCUAUGCAGGCCGGCGCCAUCCGGAAGGGCGGCUUCCUCGUCAUCAAGAACCGCCCCUGCAAGGUGGUGGAGGUUUCUACCUCGAAGACAGGAAAGCACGGUCAUGCUAAAUGCCACUUUGUUGCCUUAGAUAUAUUCAAUGGUAAAAAGCUUGAGGACAUUGUUCCUUCAUCCCACAACUGUGAUGUGCCACAUGUGGACCGUACUGAGUAUCAGCUGAUUGACAUAUCAGAGGAUGGAUUUGUGAGCCUUCUUACUGAUAAUGGUAGCACUAAGGAUGAUCUUAAACUCCCAACUGAUGAUGCUAUCCUGACCCAGGUUUGGUUGACAAAUCUUUAA
rnacentral:rRNA from 1 species